rnacentral:rRNA from 1 species
GACGAACGCUGGCGGCGUGCUUAACACAUGCAAGUCGAACGGAAAGGCCCUGCUUUUGUGGGGUGCUCGAGUGGCGAACGGGUGAGUAACACGUGUGUAACCUGCCCUUGACUUUGGGAUAACUUCAGGAAACUGGGGCUAAUACCGGAUAGGAGUUCCUGCUGCAUGGUGGGGGUUGGAAAGUUUCGGCGGUUGGGGAUGGACUCGCGGCUUAUCAGCUUGUUGGUGGGGUAGUGGCUUACCAAGGCUUUGACGGGUAGCCGGCCUGAGAGGGUGACCGGCCACAUUGGGACUGAGAUACGGCCCAGACUCCUACGGGAGGCAGCAGUGGGGAAUAUUGCACAAUGGGCGGAAGCCUGAUGCAGCAACGCCGCGUGCGGGAUGACGGCCUUCGGGUUGUAAACCGCUUUCGCCUGUGACGAAGCGUGAGUGACGGUAAUGGGUAAAGAAGCACCGGCUAACUACGUG